GACGGAGGAUGCAAGUGUUAUCCGGAAUCACUGGGCGUAAAGCGUCUGUAGGUGGUUCGAAAAGUCCACUGUUAAAAAUUGAGGCUUAACUUCAAAGAUGCCGUGGAAACUUUCAAACUAGAGUAUGGUAGGGGUAGAGGGAAUUUCCAGUGGAGCGGUGAAAUGCGUAGAUAUUGGAAAGACCACCGAUGGCGAAGGCAGGUCUCUGGGCCACUACUGACGCUGAGAAGCGAAAGCAUGGGGAGCGAACAGG
rnacentral:rRNA from 1 species